UGAGGAAUAUUGCGCAAUGGGGGCAACCCUGACGCAGCAACGCCGCGUGAGUGAGGAAGGUUUUCGGACCGUAAAGCUCUGUCGAGCGGGAAGAAAUGCAUGGUGGCUAAUAUCCAUCAUGCUUGACGGUACCGCUAAAGGAAGCACCGGCUAACUCCGUGCCAGCAGCCGCGGUAAUACGGGGGGUGCAAGCGUUGUUCGGAAUUAUUGGGCGUAAAGAGCGUGUAGGCGGCUGGAUAAGUCAGAUGUGAAAUCCCUGGGCUUAACCCAGGACGUGCAUUUGAAACUGUCCAGCUUGAGUAAGGGAGAGGAAAGUGGAAUUCCUGGUGUAGAGGUGAAAUUCGUAGAUAUCAGGAGGAACACCGGUGGCGAAGGCGACUUUCUGGCCCUAUACUGACGCUGAGACGCGAGAGCGUGGGUAGCAAACA
rnacentral:rRNA from 1 species